UGGGGAAUUUUGGACAAUGGGGGAAACCCUGAUCCAGCCAUCCCGCGUGUGCGAUGAAGGCCUUCGGGUUGUAAAGCACUUUUGGCAGGAAAGAAACGUCAUGGGUUAAUACCCCGUGAAACUGACGGUAUCUGCAGAAUAAGCACCGGCUAACUACGUGCCAGCAGCCGCGGUAAUACGUAGGGUGCAAGCGUUAAUCGGAAUUACUGGGCGUAAAGCGUGCGCAGGCGGUUCGGAAAGAAAGAUGUGAAAUCCCAGAGCUCAACUUUGGAACUGCAUUUUUAACUACCGGGCUAGGGUGUGUCAGAGGGAGGUGGAUUUCCGCGUGUAGCAGUAAAAUGCGUAGAUAUGAGGGGGAACACCGAUGGCGAAGGCAGCCUCCUGGGAUAACACUGACGCUCAUGCACGAAAGCGUGGGGAGCAAACAGG
rnacentral:rRNA from 1 species